GAUGAACGCUGGCGGCGUGCCUAAUACAUGCAAGUCGAGCGAACAGACGAGGAGCUUGCUCCUCUGACGUUAGCGGCGGACGGGUGAGUAACACGUGGAUAACCUACCUAUAAGAUUGGGAUAACUUCGGGAAACCGGAGCUAAUACCGGAUAAUAUAUUGAACCGCAUGGUUCAAUAGUGAAAGACGGUUUUGCUGUCACUUAUAGAUGGAUCCGCGCCGCAUUAGCUAGUUGGUAAGGUAACGGCUUACCAAGGCGACGAUGCGUAGCCGACCUGAGAGGGUGAUCGGCCACACUGGAACUGAGACACGGUCCAGACUCCUACGGGAGGCAGCAGUAGGGAAUCUUCCGCAAUGGGCGAAAGCUUGACGGAGCAACGCCGCGUGAGUGAUGAAGGUCUUCGGAUCGUAAAACUCUGUUAUUAGGGAAGAACAAAUGUGUAAGUAACUAUGCACGUCUUGACGGUACCUAAUCAGAAAGCCACGGCUAACUACGUG
rnacentral:rRNA from 1 species